UACGUAGGGUGCGAGCGUUGUCCGGAAUUAUUGGGCGUAAAGAGCUCGUAGGCGGUUUGUCACGUCUGCUGUGAAAUCCCGAGGCUCAACCUCGGGCCUGCAGUGGGUACGGGCAGACUGGAGUGCGGUAGGGGAGAUUGGAAUUCCUAGUGUAGCGGUGGAAUGCGCAGAUAUCAGGAGGAACACCGAUGGCGAAGGCAGAUCUCUGGGCCGUAACUGACGCUGAGGAGCGAAAGCGUGGGGAGCGAACAGG
rnacentral:rRNA from 1 species